rnacentral:rRNA from 1 species
GACGAACGCUGGCUGCGUGCUUAACACAUGCAAGUCGAACGGAAAGGCCCUGCUUUUGUGGGGUGCUCGAGUGGCGAACGGGUGAGUAACACGUGAGUAACCUGCCCUUGACUUUGGGAUAACUUCAGGAAACUGGGGCUAAUACCGGAUAGGAGCUCCUGCUGCAUGGUGGGGGUUGGAAAGUUUCGGCGGUUGGGGAUGGACUCGCGGCUUAUCAGCUUGUUGGUGGGGUAGUGGCUUACCAAGGCUUUGACGGGUAGCCGGCCUGAGAGGGUGACCGGCCACAUUGGGACUGAGAUACGGCCCAGACUCCUACGGGAGGCAGCAGUGGGGAAUAUUGCACAAUGGGCGGGAGCCUGAUGCAGCAACGCCGCGUGCGGGAUGACGGCCUUCGGGUUGUAAACCGCUUUCGCCUGUGACGAAGCGUGAGUGACGGUAAUGGGUAAAGAAGCACCGGCUAACUACGUG